rnacentral:lncRNA from 1 species
AAACAGAGUAACCUUAUCGAGUGAAGAUUGGGUAGUAGUAGUAAGCAAAAAUGGCGUCGAUUGCAGCAUCUUCUACCUUUCACUCGCUUUCAACAGCCAAAAGCCCUAACCUUUCUUCGACCCAUCUAUCGAAAAACCUCACCUUUCGAACCAGACCCAUCGAGAACAGCAGAGUUUGCAGCUUUUCUGCGUUUACGAAACAGAGUCGCCUUGGGUUGAGGAAGCUUUCGUGC